GACGAACGCUGGCGGCGUGCUUAACACAUGCAAGUCGAGCGAGAAAGCACCUUCGGGUGUGAGUAAAGCGGCGAACGGGUGAGUAACACGUGGGUAACCUGCCCUGGAGACCGGGACAACCAUUCGAAAGGAUGGCUAAUACCGGAUAUCCUGCGGAAUCGCAUGGUUCCGUAGAAAAUGGUAGCUUCGGCUUCUGCUUCAGGAUGGACCCGCGGCCCAUUAGCUUGUUGGUAGGGUAACGGCCUACCAAGGCGACGAUGGGUAGCCGGCCUGAGAGGGGGCGCGGCCACACUGGAACUGAGACACGGUCCCGACUCCUACGGGAGGCAGCAGUGGGGAAUCUUGCACAAUGGGCGAAAGCCGGACGCAGCAACGCCGCGUGGGGGAAGAAGGCCUUAGGGUUGUAAACCUCUGUCAGGAGGGACGAAGCCACCUGCGUUAAUAGCGUAAGGGGUGACGGUACCUCCAAAGGAAGCCCCGGCUAACUACGUGCCAGCAGCCGCCGUAACAC
rnacentral:rRNA from 1 species